GACGCCGGGUUUGGGAGGGGCCGGCUUGUGAGCCCCGCCCAUUGAUUCUGCGCACGCGCACGCAUGCGCACUUAUCAGGUCCUGCCGCCGGGUUCUAAGGCCGGAUCCAGAGAGCCGUUGGGAGACGGUUGGGCGUGGCAACGGACGCUAUCCGAAGGUCACGCCCACUCCGGACUAGGGGGCGGGGCUUCCUAACGGAAGCUCACAUGCCAAGUCCUGGAACACCGGCUCUUCCUGCUAACUGCUUUGGGGUUGCGGAAUGGUAAGACCCUCCACCGGAUGAGGACCUCUAGCUUUGAGGAAUCAGAGGAUUGGAGCGGCCAUAGGGACACUAAGAAGGGCAGCGGUUGUCUGCGUUGAGACCCGUGCGGCGAGUAGCUCGGAGAAUCUAGGCGCAGCCGUCGCCGCUGCAGAGGCCCCAGGCGCGGAUCUGCAGGGCAGUGAGUGUCCCCAUGUGACCCGCGCGCUGCUGGGACCUAAGGGCACGUAUGGGAGCUGCCGCCUCCGCCGAGGGCUCGAGUCUGCAAGGCAUGCGCGACGCUGACACCUUGGCUGUGCAUCCACGAGGGGCUGGAACUCAAGAAGAAGCACCGCUCUUUUUUUUUUUUUUUUAAUUCUUUUUUUCGGAGCUGGGGACCGAACCCAGGGCCUUGCGUUGAAGCACCGCUCUUGUAGCCCUCCUGAGAGGCGAACUGGAGGUGGCCAGUCUUUGUCUGCACAACAGGAUGCGGAACCAUCGCUCAGCAUCGUCCCCUCCGCAUUCGGAGCGGACGGAACGAUCCCUGCUUUGCACCCCAGCCACUGGAAAACAGGAACGCCUCACCGAGGAGGAAGGGAAGCGCCAAGGUCACCGACCCUAAUCGGGGACCGCGUCAACCCAGCCGGUGGGCAGCGUUACCUUGGUGGACUUCAUCUGCAUGCACCUCAGCCAGGUCCCAGCCUUGCCUGUGCUCCUUGGGAGAUUGGUGGUGAGAAUCCUGUAAACAGCAGGAAAGUAAGUUUGUAUGAGUUGGCAAUGUAUUAGAAUUCCUUAACAGACGUGCAAGGAGGGAUUAGUGAUAUAGGACUAAUCUUCUUUCUUUCCUCUUCAUAGCCCUGGCUGACCCGGGACAAGCUCUGUAGACCAGGCUGGCCUCACUCAGAGAUUUGCCUGCCUCUGCCUCUAGAAUGCUGGGAUUAUAGGCGUGGUGCCUGUGCCACUGCUGCCUGGCUCCCAGUCGUUUUUCUAUGGGAGAGAGUUCACUCAGUGAGAAGGGGACAUGUACCCAACCCUGUGACAUCCACCCUGUCACUUCCUGCAGAGGGAGAACCGUGGCCAGUUGGACUGGAUAAGGGGAGUUCCAGAGACGGCUCCAUCAUAGGUGGGAAUGACUAGCAAACCAAGUGCCACCAGUGGCUGAAUGUGAGAGAUCUGACUAGUGUGGCCUGUGGCUUUCGAGGGAGAAGGGAGACAGGAGGGGCCAGAGAAGGGGCUGUGGGCUGAGGCCAAGUGAAAGCAGUGUUUUGGGCAUUCUGGGUAGGAGGAGCUGGGUGAUGGGUCUGGAAGAACAGAGAGAGGGCUUGGAGCAGAAAUAGGAGAAGGUUUGGACAUAGGUAGUCUUUCCCUUUCCCCAGUCAUGCAUAGCAGUUGUAAAGGUUCCAAAUAACAUUGGAAACUAGGUUGCCAUUAGGCAGCCCUCUGGAUUGAUUAUCUGAGGAAUACUGACUGCAAACGCAACUAAGCAACUAAGGUUGGGCCACUGAGGUCAGGUGCCAGGUGGAGAGGCUGGAGGUUUUCUGAGAGGCAUCCCAAGGGGGGAAUGGACGUCACUGCUUUGUGGAUGGGAAGGGUGGUGUGGGGAGAAGGUCACAGCAGCCUGUAAUCAGGCAUUCCCAGGACUCAGGGAUGACCAAACAAGAUGAAGCUGUUUAGUGGGUCCUCACUACACUCCAUGGUGUCAGGACUCAGUGUCUGGUAUCAGAGCUUUGGAUGGGGCCCAAGGCUUCCCAGAAGGCAACAACAAGAACAAGUUUAGGAACAAGGUCUUACCCAGGGGAAAGGGAUGGAGAACAGGGUCACAUAGUAUCAUAAAAGCCACAAGAGCACAGAGAAGCUCUGGAGUUACAUGCAGCUUCGAUGGGGAGAUGGAAAAGAGGAGGAAGGAUUGCAGUAGCCAGCUGGGCCUAGGGAAGCUGUAGGAUCUUAGCUCCAAGCGGGGAUGGGGGUGGGCGUGGGGCUUCAGUGAAGAGGGUCGGCCAUAGCCUUAGAGACUGCAGGAGAUGGGGUGGGUGAACAGGUCAUAGCUGCAGGUACUGAAGCAACCUAGGGAAAAACAUCCUCUCUAAAGGGAAGAACAACCCAAGGGUUAGUAGUUUGGUACACAGGUUCAAUGUACUGUGAGGAAGGUACAGUGACAGGAAGGAAGUGGCUUGUAGAAUUCUAGCUGGGUCACACCUGCAGGCAGGUCUAUUAUUUCAAACUUUAAAAAAAUAAACUACUGGUAUAGGUCAA